rnacentral:lncRNA from 10 species
ACACCUCCCAAAAUGCAGAGAAGGCAGGGUGGCUAGGAAUGGCUCUAGUAGAAUUCUCCCCUUAUCUUGUCUGGAAACAAGGGGCAAAGAGCUAUCUAUUUCCUCCUGCCAGCCUCCUGCCCCCAACAGGAUUCCUCACAUCCCAGGACCAGCUGGAAAAGGUGGUGAGAGUUGGAAAGAGACUGCUCAGUGAGGACUGCCCUGCGAACCAGCUUGGAUUCAUCCCGUUCACCUCCACGUUCUGCACUCGGGGCCGAGGGAAGGGAGGCAGCCCAGGCAGCUAGAGAACUUGAUGAAACACACUCAAUCUGAAUCUCGCUUGAUCGUCAUGCUGACCCAGUGAGUCUACUCAGGGUCAGGCAUCCUUUCCGACUACUCACUCAGCAGCGGAUCCCCACCCGCCUCUGACUCCCAGUGUCUUUCGGCUCCAACGUAAGUUCACCGAACGUCUAAGAGCUGAGGAUUCAAAGGCAUGUAAGACCGCCCCUGCCCUCAGCUGCAAGACCUGUCCGCGAUCCUACGAGCCCCAUUCCGCCCUCUUUCCCCGACCUUGGUCCCCCAUGGGCCCUACAACCAGGUCCCCGACUGACACCUUGACCAGCGAACACAGCAAACAGGCCCGCAGAUGCCGCAGGUCCUUCGGCACCGUCUCCAGGGCCAUCUUCGCCGAUGGGAAGAACAACAGGGAGAUAGACGACCACAGCCUGUGCACCCGCAGGAAGUAAAUAGCUCGUUACCCAGAAUGCCCACCACUUCCGGCGCUUAGACUUCCUCUUCCGGUGUGGGCGGACGCCAGCUCCGCCCCUACCCCCGCCAGAGGAGAUGGUUUCUCCCGCCAGCAGGCGGGGAGGCUGGGCGGCCGGCCGCCACCUGGGCCGGAGCGCGUCGCAGCCACCUGAGCCCGCCGAGGGCGCGGCGGAGGCUGUGUGGGGUAGUCAGCGGGCCCCCGGGGCGGGGGGGCGGCUGCGCUUGCGCGGGAGUGUGUCGGGCUGAGCCGCAGCGCCGAGACGCGGGCUGUUUGAUCUGGGCUGGUGGCCCUGGGCGUCGGUCCUGUUCCCCGAUGGUAACCCGAAGUUUGUUUUUUUUUGUUUUGUCUCCCCGUUUUAGAAGCAUUGGGGGCAGUGAAUCCACUGUCUCCCUCUGGAUUGUCUCUGCAGAGACCGAGAAGAAAUCCAGGGACAGCCCCACCCCUCCUUCCUAACUGCGAGAGCGCUAUAGGGUUUCCACUUGCUUCCCACAGGAAUGCUGGCCUGGGAGCUACGGCGGAAAAAAAUGCGUAUUUAUCUUUUAAAACUCCGUCUGUUUGCUCGUUCCGGCUGAUAAUUUAUACUUUGCGCAGUUCUUAGCGCUUAGACACGGUUCCUUUACUAAAGACCAUUUGUAGGAGAUUAGGUGUCCUUUUUUUCCCUUUCAUUUCACCGUCUAGGAAGCGAAAUGCCUUGUUCUAUAGGCACUAAACCACCACCCCUACCAAACCUUUCUCGGGGAAGCAGAAGGGGAACUUGUGCCUUGUGAGGAAGCGACAAAGGCCCCUUCUGGCCCUGGAGACUUCACGCCAAUGGAGCACCAGCUCUCUGUCCUCGCAAUAGCCCGAGUGCAGGCAGAACGCAGUCAUUUGUGUUUAUCUGAGAGGAGCUUUGGGAUAUAAAUAGUUUCAGGCCCCGCUGCGCUGUCAUUCCAGCCCAGCCUCCUGAUUGAGCUGCUUCCGGGCGGGCUUUCUUCUUGUUGGCGGUCCCAUGCUGUGUUCAGAUGGGCUCUGUGACAGGUUUGGAUGUUUUCUAUCACUGAAUAAAACUUUCCACUUUGGAACAUA